CCUCCCUCCAGAGCAGGCCUGCUCUCUACUGGGAGAGGUCCGGCUUUCUGGUACCGCACGGCCACCACAUGUGCUGGGUGCCCCCUGGCUCCCCUGUGUCACCCUGUGGGAAGAAUCAACUGUCUUUGUGUCUAAUCAGAGAGCCUCACGUGUCCUACCAGCAUCCCUGAAACUUGGGGGGGGGGGGUACCUUGUCAGCGGAGGGUGGGGCAGGGUAUACAUCAGACCCUUCUCCAUUUCUGAACGGCAACCCCCCAGCAUAGGACACGUGGUGUCUGCCCUCCCCCACUGUUUCAGCAGCAGGAAUCCCCAGGGGCCAGAGCCUGGAGAGCACCAAGAGGUGGCCUGGUCCGCGUCUGCGGGGCUGAUCUGGGGUCUGCAGCACUCGCCUCCAAGCUGUUUCCACGUGCCUCCUCGUGCCUGAGGAAGUGGACCCUGGGAUGUGGCCUGCACACGGACAUGACCUGUGAGGGUGCAGCUGGGUUUGAGCGGCUGUCGGGCCCCCUUCUGUCUAAGCAGGUUUGGGUGCCACACUGCUCCCGAAACGAGGAUUCUUGCUCUGCGUUGGGGCCCAGGCCCCUCUGACCUGUGCAGGAAACAAGGGGUGAUUAAUAAACAGUCUUUUCAGCGUG